rnacentral:lncRNA from 1 species
AUCUACACCCCAUGGCCAUUCAAAGUUGUACAAAUCAUGACGCUGCACCCCACGGUUUACGUUCUAGGGGGCGCCAAAGAUAACCCACAAAUCCACAUUCUUAAAAAUCUUAUAACUUUUUAUUUUUGUCCUCAUUGGCCUCCAAGUUUUCUAGGAUGAUGCAAUGUCCAGCCAUCAACACAUUUGUGAAGGAAUUUUUACUCCCCAAAACAGCGCCCCCCCCAUGGCAGGACAAACAAGGCCAUUUUUUCUUGUCCCCUAAGGUGAAAAUACACAUUGUUCAGUGUCACGCCUAUACGCUUUGUCAUAUUGACACAAAAUUUGACACACACGUGUAUCUCAAUAAGAUCUACGAAAAAGUUUAUGGGCACAUAUCUGUAAAAUGUACGGUUAAAGGGCUAUCUUGCAUUUUUUGCCGAUUCGCACACAUUGGAAUGUGGCUAACUCCUCCUAAGGCUUUCGUUCUACUGACACCAAAUUUGCUCAGGCCAAUCUACACCCCGUGGCCAUUCAAAGUUGUACAAAUCAUGACGCUGCACCCCACGGUUUAGGUUCUAGGGGGCGCCAAAGAUGACCCAAAUAUCCACAUUUUUAAAAGUCUUAUAACUUUUUAUUUUUGUCCUCACUGGCCUCCAAGUUUUCUAGGAUGAUGCAAUGUGCAGCCAUCAACACAUCUGUGAAGGAAUUUUUUCUCCCCAAAAGAGCGCCCCCCCCCCCCCCCCCCAUGGCAGGAGAAAAAGUCAAGUUUUUCCAGCCCAUCGCUUAAUGGCUCAAACGCAUUGCUCUCCCGCUAAAACCAAAAGGAGGAGCAACUUGCCAUUUGGAUAUGUCCUAGCUGUGUUUGUGCCCUCACUCAUGGUCCAGAGUUUUUUCAAAUAGGACAUGUAGUUUGUCUGCAGCGAGUUUUGGUAGAAACUGUGCCUCCCAUUCAUUAUAAUGGGAAAUGACCAAAGACAGGUGCGCACACCAUCUUUGGACCUUGACUUUGACGUCACAGUUUGAGAUACAAAUGUAAUCUGACCUCUGACCUUUGGUGGACACCCUAACCUUUCAACCCGCGAAAACGGCGUUUCAAUAGCUCUUACGGCUUUCCUACAAAUACACUUUGUUCAGCUACUCCUACUGUCCUUUAAGCUCUGCUUCUCAGAUCAUCAAAGAGUGUGCACGUGUGUAAUGAGCGCAUAUUGAAUGUUAAUUAUGUUAAAUAUGUUAAUUAUUAGAAGAAAAAACAACAACAGUCCUUUUGGACAAAAUUUCUUUUUAUUACAGAAUUAGAAUAAUGGAAGCAUAGUCCAAGGAAACCAUUCAAGUGAUGUCAUACCUCAUAAUUUAUUGAGAUGUUGGCUAGUCUGGGCAUUUCUUCAUUCAUCAGGUUUCCUGCAUGCAUACUAACAGAGCACAUCAGUAGCAGUGAGUGAUAAGUAUGAGUGUGUCAUUGUGUAAGAAAGAAAGUGGUUUACUUACACAUCCAUAGAAAAUAGGUGGUUGAGCACAGCACGCAAACAAAGCUUUGCCACAACGGUUGAACUUCCCAAGUAGCUGAUACCAAGGUCACACAAUCAUGGUGAGCAAAGGUCAAACCAGGCCAGGCACUCACGAGGCUGGCUGUGGCAAGUGUAAGUGAAAGCAACACGCAAUGGCAGGAAGAACAGCAAACACCGAUGAAGGAAAAGGGUCUUUGCAGUGAUGGGCGUCACCAGAGAGGGCGAUGGCCAGAGGGCACGAAUGAGACGGGGAGGCGGUCGCGCUGGGGGCGGCGCGACGCGGCUCGGGCCCGCCAGUGCCCCAACGGGGCCCUAGUUGUUUCUUUCUUUCUUCUUUUUCCUCCCCUUUGAACUGGAAAAUGGCCCACUUCCCACUGGCGAAAACUCAUGAAAUUUGGCAGGAUGACCGGGCCUGGUGAAAAAUUUGAUAUUCCGAAGUCGCCCAAACAAGAAAAUGCAAAAUGGCUCCAUAGCGCCCCCUAAGGUGAAAAUUCACACUAUUGACUGUCACGCCUUCACGCUUUGUCAAAAUGACACAAAAAUUGACACACAUAUGUAUCUCAAUAAGAUCUACAAAAAAGUCAGUGCGGGCGUAUCUGUCAAAUGUACGGUUAAAGGGCUAUUUCGCAUUUUUUGCCGAUCCGCACACAUUGGAAUUUCGCUAACUCCUCCGAAGGCUUUCGUUCCACCGGCACCAAAUUUGCUCAGGCCAAUCUACACCCCAUGGCCAUUAAAAGUUGUACAAAUCAUGAUGCUGCACCCCACGGUUUACGUUCUAGGGGGCGCCAAAAAUAACCCAAAAAUCCACAUUCUUAAAAGUCUUAUAACUUUUUAUUUUUGUCCUCACUGGCCUCCAAGUUUUCUAGGAUGAUGCAAUGUCCAGCCAUCAACACAUUUGUGAAGGAAUUUUUACUCGCCAAAAGAGCGCCCCCCCAUGGCAGGAGAAAAAAGUCCAUUUUUUCUAGUCCCCUAAGGCGAAAAUACACAUUGUUGAAUGUCACGCCUGUACGCUUCGUCAUAUUGACACAAAAUUUGACAAUCACGUGUAUCUCAAUAAGAUCUACGAAAAAGUCAGUGCGCGUAUCAGUAAAAUGUACGGUUAAAGGGCUAUUUCGCAUUUUUUGCCGUUUCGCACACAUUGGAAUGUGGCUAACUCCUCCUAAGGCUUUCGUCCCACUGACACCAAAUUUGCUCAGGCCAAUCUACACUCCAUGGCCAUUCAAAGUUGUAAAAAUCAUGACGCUGCACCCCACGGUCUAUGUUCUAGGGGGCGCCAAAGAGGACCCAAAUAUCCACAUUUUUAAAAGUCUUAUAACUUUUUAUUUUUGUCCUCACUGGCCUCCAAGUUUUCUAGGAUGAUGCAAUGUCCAGCCGACAACACAUUUGUGAAGGAAUUUUUUCUCCCCAAAAGAGCGCCCCCCCAUGGCAGGAGAAAAAAGUCCAUUUUUUCUUGUCCCCUAAGGUGAAAAUACACAUUGUUGAGUGUCAUGCCUGUACGCUUUGUCAAAAUGACACAAAAUUCAACACACACGUGUAUCUCAAUAAGAUCUACGAAAAAGUAAAUGCAGGCGUAUCUGUCAAAUGUACGGUUAAAGGGCUAUUUCGCAUUUUUUGCCGAUUCGCACACAUUGGAAUGUAGCUAACUCCUCCGAAGGCUUUCGCUCCACCGGCACCAAAUUUGCUCAGGCCAAUCUACACCCCAUGGCCAUUCAAAGUUGUAAAAAUCAUGACGCUGCACCCCACGGUUUAAGUUCUAGGGGGCGCCAAAGAUGACCCAAAUAUCCAUAUUCUUAAAAGUGUUAUAACAUUUUAUUUUUGUCCUCACUGGCCUCCAUGUUUUCUAGGAUGAUGCAAUGUCCAGCCAUCAACACAUUUGUGAAGGAGUUUUUUCUCGUUAAAAGAGCGCCCCCCAUGGCAGGAGAAUAAAGUCAAGUUUUUCCUGUUCAUCGUUCAAUGGCUCAAACGCAUCGCUCUCUCGGCAAAAGCGAAAGGAGGAGCAACUUGCCAUUUGGAUAUAUCUUAGCUGUGUUUGUGCCCUCACUCAUGGUCCAGACUUUUUUCAAAUAGGACAUGGAGUUUUUCUGCAGCGAGCGUUUUGGUAGAAACUGCGCCUCCCAUUCAUUAUAAUGGUAAAAGACCACAGACAAGUGCGCACACCAUCUUUGGACCUUGAGUGUGACGCGAUUGGGUGGGGGAGGCGGUCGCGCUGGGGGCGGCGCGACACGGCUGGGGCCCGCCAGUGCCCCACCGGGGCCCUAGUUCUUCUUUUUCCUCCCCUUUGAACUGGAAAAUGGCCCACUUCCCACUGGCGAAAACUCAUGAAAUUUGGCAGGAUGACCGGGCCUGGUGAAAAAUUUGAUAUUCCGAAGUCGCCCAAACAAGAAAAUGCAAAAUGGCUCCAUAGCGCCCCCUAAGGUGAAAAUUCAUACUAUUGACUGUCACGCCUUUACGCUUUGUCAAAAUGACACAAAAAUUGACACACAUAUGUAUCUCAAUAAGAUCUACAAAAAAGUCAGUGCGGGCGUAUCUGUCAAAUGUACGGUUAAAGGGUUAUUCCGCAUUUUUUGCCGAUCCACACACAUUGGAAUUUUGCUAACUCCUCCGAAGGCUUUCUUUCCACUUGCACCACAUUUGCUCAGGCCAAUCUACACCCCAUGGCCAUUAAAAGUUAUUCAAAUCAUGACGCUGCACCCCACGGUUUAGGUUCUAGGGGGCGCCAAAGAUAACCCUAAAAUCCACAUAUUUAAAAGUCUUAUAACUUUUUAUUUUUGCCCUCACUAGCCUCCAAGUUUUCUAGGAUGAUGCAAUGUCCAGCCAUCAACACAUUUGUGAAGGAAUUUUUACUCCCCAAAAGAGCGCCCCCCCCAUGGCCGGAGAAAAAAGUCCAUUUUUUCUUGUCCCCUAAGGGGAAAAUACACAUUGUUGAGUGUCACGCCUGUACGCUUUGUCAUAUUGACACAAAAUUUGACACACACAUGUAUCUCAAUAAGAUCUACGAAAAAGUCAAUGCGCGCGUAUCUGUCAAAUGUACGGUUAAAGGGUUAUUCCGCAUUUUUUGCCGAUCCGCACACAUUGGAAUUUCGCUAACUCCUCCUAAAGCUUUCUUUCCACUUGCACCACAUUUGCUCAGGCCAAUCUACACCCCAUGGCCAUUAAAAGUUAUUCAAAUCAUGACGCUGCACCCCACGGUUUAGGUUCUAGGGGGCGCCAAAGAUAACCCUAAAAUCCACAUAUUUCAAAGUCUUAUAACUUUUUAUUUUUGUCCUCACUGGCCUCCAAGUUUUCUAGGAUGAUGCAAUGUCCAGCCAUCAACACAUUUGUGAAGGAAUUUUUACUCCCCAAAAGAGCGCCCCCCCAUGGCAUGAGAAAAAAGUCCAUUUUUUCUUGUCCCCUAAGGCGAAAAUACACAUUGUUGAGUGUCAUGCCUGUACGCUUUGUCAUAUUGACACAAAAUUUGACAAUCAAGUGUAUCUCAAUAAGAUCUACGAAAAAGUCAAUGUGCGCGUAUCUGUAAAAUGUACGGUUAAAGGGCGAUUUCGCAUUUUUUGCCGAUUCGCACACAUUGGAAUGUGGCUAACUCCUCCUAAAGCUUUCGUCCCACUGACACCACAUUUGCUCAGGCAAAUCUACACCCCAUGGCCAUUCAAAGUUGUAAAAAUCAUGACGCUGUACCCCACGGUUUACGUUCUAGGGGGCGCCAAAGAGGACCCAAAUAUCCACAUUUUUAAAAGUCUUAUAACUUUAUUUUUGUCCUCACUGGCCUCCAAGUUUUCUAGGAUGAUGCAAUGUCCAGCCAUCAGCACAUGUGUGAAGGAAUUUUUACUCCCUAAAAGGGCGCCCCCCCAUGGCAGGAGAAAAAAAUCCAUCUUUUCUUUACCCCUAAGGUAAAAAUACACAUUGUUGAGUGUCACACCUAUACGCUUUGUCAUAUUGACACAAAAUUUGACAAUCAAGUGUAUCUCAAUAAGAUCUACGAAAAAGUCAAUGCGCGCAUAUCUGUCAAAUGUACGGUUAAAGGGCGAUUUCGCAUUUUUUGCAGAUCCGCACACAUUAGAAUGUGGCUAACUCCUCCUAAAGCUUUCGUCCCAUCGGCACCAAAUUUGCUCAGGCCAAUCUACACCCCAUGGCCAUUAAAAGUUAUUCAAAUCAUGAUGCUGCACCCCACGGUUUAGGUUCUAGGGGGCGCCAAAGAUAACCCAAAAAUCCACAGUCUUAAAAGUCUUAACUUUUUAUUUUUGUCCUCACUGGCCUCCAAGUUUUCUAGGAUAAUGCAAUGUUCAGCCAUCAACACAAUUGUGAAGGAAUUUUUACUCCCCAAAAGAGCGCCCCCCC